rnacentral:rRNA from 1 species
UGAGCAAUCUGCCCUUCACAUCGGAAUAACCAUUGGAAACGAUGGCUAAUACCGAAUAUGACUUCGGAUCGCAUGAUCUGAAGUGGAAAGCUCCGGCGGUGAAGGAUGAGCUCGCGGCCUAUCAGCUUGUUGGUGAGGUAAUGGCUAACCAAGGCAUUGACGGGUAGCCGGCCUGAGAGGGUGACCGGCCACAUUGGGACUGAGACACGGCCCAAAUCCUACGGG